CUACAUGAUGAUAUAAUUUGCGAUCGACCUCGUUUGGUGGCUCCCUCGCCGGGGAUGCUAUAUCACUCGAUAGGAUGAGAUUCAUUCUUACAUAUACUGAAC
rnacentral:snoRNA from 1 species